GGAUUACCUCUGUGGUGGCUGCAUUCUCAGGCUCCAUGGGUUGGCAAGUCCUAGGCAUUAUGUAAAGGCCGACAGCCAGGUGUGGGCCAGCUCCAACUGGGGCGACUUGUGGAGGGUGGUUCCUGGGACAACGCCCAUGCCGUGAUCAGGAACGGGGUCAGCAGGAGUCAGGUGGGGAAGUGCCAGGUGUCCACUGCCACGACCAACACGUUACUCACACUCACGGCACAAGAAUGGCCUCUGUACCCUGUGUGUAGGCAUAUCCAGGCACAGUCGCUUGUAUGUCUGAGACCUCAAGCUGGAGAGUGCUGAUGGCCAACAUGCUGGUCACCUCUCCACAGUCCUUCCUCCUCCUGGACAACACCCCUGCUCUCUCUGGAUGGUCCUGAGCUAAGCCCGGAAGAGUCAAGGCUAUAAAGAGGGACUGAGAACACCGUGACGCCCUGGCCUGCGCACCCUCCUCUGCUCCAUCUGGGUCUGUCCGGAUGGCAGAGGCUCAGAGGGUCUGCCCCUACCAGAUGGUGGAGGCUCAGAAUGUCUGAGCCAGAAAAAGCAUGAAAGAAAACUUAGCCUUCCUCCUCCCAGUUAACAGGCUGGGUCCUGAGGGCACAGUGUCCAGCACGGAGGACACACAGUAAAUAUUCCCAGAAGGAGUGAUGGGUGAACGAAUAAAUAGAAUCUCACCCUGCCACCAUGAUUAAAUUCAGCCCCAAACUUACCUGUCCCAUUGUUUCCAUAUCCUGCCACCUCUGAGGCCUAAUCUGAAGAACUGAUUUGUGCCAGUGGACGAGCACUAUUUCUCUAGGUGAGACAUGCAGGUGUCAACAGGAAAUGUCCUGAGAUGUAAUUCUUCAACCCAGGAAGCCACUCCAAUCAAGAGAACAUAAAGCAAUGGUGAUGGGAUGUGGGGGUUCCAUGGGGCUUGGAUGCCCUGAGGAGGGCCUCAAAUCACAGAAUGAUGAAGGUCUUCUGGAUGCAGUGGCAGGGCAGGAGAGGUAUUGCCCUGGGACUCGAGAUGGGACCACAGCCAAUUGCUCACUCAGCCAUGGCCUGUGGGUCUGACACUGGGACCUCACUAACCCUCUUUUAACACUCCUAUCUGUAAGUAGGGAUCAUGACCCACACUUUGCAGGGGUUCUGAUGCUGCAAAAUUCUGGCGCUUUCUACAUGAUAAGGUCUUUGCUCACCAAAUGGAAGAGACUGCGUGCAGGUAGCAUGGGCCUGCCUACUGCAGGUGGGGUGCUUUGGGCUGCAAGUAACAGAAAAUCCAACUCAAAGUGAAUUGUGUGAUAAAGACAAUGCACCACCUCGCUUAUCAUGGUCUGAGUUCCUCCAUGAGGGUUGCCGCCUGGUGCGUCCUCUGUAAGCUCCCUGAAGCAGGGGCCUAGGCUGACCUUUUUUCUCCACUGCCCCCGAGAGCAUAGACCAGGGCCUGGCACAGAGAAGGCGUCCAGUGAGGAUUCCACCCAGGACACCAUCAAACCCUCAUCGCUACAUGGUCUAUUAAGUUGUGUUCCCCCAACAGCAGUUAAAGAAACCAAAGCUUGGCCAGGCACGGUGGCUCACGCCUGUAAUCCCAGCACUUUGGGAGGCCGAGGUGGGUGGGUCACUUGAGGUCAGGAGUUCGAGACCAGCCUGACCAAUAUGGUGAAAUCCCAUCUCUACUAAAAAUAAGAAUACAAAAAUUAGCUGGGCGUGGUGGCAUGUGCCUGUAGUCUCAGCUACUCAGGAGGCUGAGACAGGAGAAUUGCUUGAACCUGGGAGGCGGAGGUUGCAGUGAGCCAAGAUUGCGCCAUUGCACUCCAACCUGGGCAAUGAGAGUGAAACUCCGUCUAAAAAAAAAAAAAAGAAGAAGAAGAAAGAAACUAGAAACUAAAGCUAAGGGAAGAUAAAUUACCUGCAUGACAUAUUGAAGCACACAGAGGACAGUCCUGGCAUUCCCUACUCUGGGCUCUGGCCAUAACCCUGACAACCCUGCUACUCUACUGUCCUCCCUGGCCUCUCUCAGGCCAGUUUGUCCUCAGAUCGGGCAGUGUGGGAGUUGACAAACCAGUCAACCCAGACUCAGAUGACGCAGAAGUCUGCCCAACACAGAAGUCCACCAACCAUUGCAUUGUGAUCAUUGCACCGAGGACAUAAAUUCAGCAACAUGUGCUGGGUCAGCUGCCUCGUUUUUCUCCAAAGUAGCAAAUUUAUGGGGCACACGUGCACAUGGGUGAUUAUUUCCCAAUAGUUUAUAGUAUCAAGCCUCCUUUCUUUCCUCCCAAUAAAUCUAAUUUAUAUGGAUUGGCAGAUCAAACAGUGCAUUUCCUGGCAUCGAGAGGCUGUGAGUCACUCACAGUGCUUUAGGAAACUUGGGGAGAUUAAGGUUUUGCAUAAUGCAAAUGCGGAUGGAAACAUAUUUGGACUGCCUCGCUGUGGAUGCAAUUAGAGCAAUGAGCACCAGGAGAAAUACUUUUUCCCAGGACACAGCAAGGUCUGCUUGGUAUGCAAAGAGCACAGUUAUUUGCGACACCAGAGCCUGGAACGUGGUGAGCAAAGCACCCAGUGACGGUUUGAUUUGCAGCUUUAAGGAAUUCAAAGAUGAAUAAAACAUUAAAUUAAUUGCCAAAGAACUGUUGCCAAGCCUGCAUGAGAUCUAAUGAAGGCACACAUGCAAAAAACCAACACACACAGAACAACAAACCAAAACUGGGCCUGCGGGAUGCUACCUGCCCCAAGCCCCCGAAACCACAUUUGGUUUUGAGUAUUUUGUCCUACUUGGAAUUUUCUCUCAUCAAUACUCAUCUCAAGUCCUCUCAGCCACGAAAGCUCUCUCCGCUUCCCCCAGCCCACAGGACGCUCCUUCGACUGUUUCCUUGUUCACUGGGGAAAUGUUGACUGAGCACCUGCUAUGUGUCAGGCACUGCUUUCCCAGACGCUGGGGAAACAGCACUGAACGAACCAGGCCACAAUCCCUGCCCUGGUGGCUGCCUUCCUGCGGGGAGUAUGAUAAUAAGCAAAAUAGAGAAAUUAAUAUAUUGGAAAGUGCUCAGUGCUACGGAGAAAACAAAGAUGAAGUGGGGAUAGGAAAUGCCGGGAGGUAGGGUCAAUCGCAGAUUGAGGCAAAGGGGUCAGGGAGGUCCCAAGAUGGGGGACAUUUGUACAGAUCCCUGAAGGAGGUGAGGGUGGUGACUACGAGGAAUGUCAGGCAGAGGGAAUAGCAAGGGGAGAGGCCCGGAGUGGAGGUUCCCGAGUGUUUGAGAACCUGUGGAAGCUGGUGUGGCCGAGUAAGUUAGGGGGAGAGUGAUGGUGAUGCACCCAGACAAGGAGCAGGACCAAGGUCACAUAAAGUCAAUGCAUUAAUUCACCUUUCAAUUCAUUCAUUCACUUACUCAACGAAUCUUUUGAGGCUCUACUGUGAGCCAGGACCUGCUAUUUUAGAUCCUGAAAAUCCAACAUUAGACGUGACAGGCAAGGUCCCAGCUCUCACGGGGCUGUGUAAUGGUGGCUGAUCCGGGAGCAGGAGGGAAGUUACUUUGUUGAGGUGAGUGGGGAAGCCCAAUCGCCACUCGCCUCUAGGUCCACAAUCCCAGCAGAAUUCCCUCUUUUGUUUGCUCUUAGGUGAUUCUUGUCUUCCCCAUAAGCCCAUUUAGCAGAUGAGAAAACUAAGGUUCCUUUGGAAUGGAAGUCCUGGCUUCUCUCCAUAAAGUCUGGAAAUUAGAGGGAGUAGAAUUAACUCCCUUUUCCUUUGCACAGGGCCAGCAUGAGGCUUUGGGGAGGUUCUGAGGCAGGAGACAUCCUACGUCAUCUCCACAGGUCAUGAACCCUAUAGCAUCUCCCACCAAGAGGGUCACGGACCCUACAGCAUCUCCCACCAGGAGGGCCAUGACCAGCCUCUGGGGCUGUGCUGCUGCAUGCCAAGGAGUAGCUGAAUCCUAGGAGUGGAGAAUCCCCAGCCUGGAAGGGGACCCCCUCCACCGACUGCCAUCACUCUGGGGCUCUCUGGCUUGAGGGCUCUCUGGGGCCACGAGGCCAGGCCUCCUCUCCACGUCCAAACAGGCUGGCUGGGUGCAAAAUGCCAUGGUGCUUGCUCUGGAUGGGCUGGAGUUUUCCCUAUUCAGGGGCCAGGGCAAUGGGUGGAGGGCCUGGGUAGAGAGGCAGAGCACGGUUGCGUCCAGGCUGUGCCACCCUGACCCUGAACUCAGGCCCACAGGAGGCUCCAGGCAACAGCUGCUCUCUCCUCUGCUGGGGCCUCCUGCCUGGAAAGCCUGCUCCCACCCACAAUGCCUAGAUUCCUCCCUCCAAGCAGCCUUAGAGACCCCUUUGGGAUCCAGAUCUGCUCUGCUCCUCACCCUGGGGAUCUGGGUGUCACUUUAAAUAAAGGGACCGCUCGUGCUCACCAGGCUGCGGGAUAUUCAGAGGCUGGGCUGGCAGUUCCCAUCCCGUGGUCGCAGAGUGCUAUGGAGGGGAGAUAAUAGGUGUGAUUUCUGUGCAGAGGAUGGACAGGGCUCCAGGGACAGAGGAUGCAGGAGUGACAGGCAUCAUCAGAUACCAUUUGUCCAGCAGCCGCUCCAGCCACCUGGUGUGGAUGUGGCCUCGUGUCCAUACUCUCCAGAGCACCCGGCUUAGUGGCUAUCUGCCUGGCUGUCUCUCCCAUUUUCAUGUGAAAGGGGGCCAGGCAGGACAUGGGGUCUGGGGACUGCCAUCUCCUCCUGGGGGCUGCACUGUGCUGACAGUCUUGUGUCCCCCUGACAGGGGCUGCACAGACGGGCCAGGCAGAAGUGAAGGAGAAGAAGGAAGCCAACAGAAGAACAUCGGGAGGGGUGAGGAGAGAAGGCCCAGGAGGAGGGGCGUCCUUCCCAGGCAGCUGUCACAGGCCCCUAGCUGAGCUCUCAUGGCAGACACAGCCCAGGACACUCAGACCCAGAGUGACUACGAGCCCCGGCAAGACGUGGAGGAGCAGAGUUACAACCCGUCAAGAGCCUGAUUUCAGGUUGAAACCAGGCUUCACCAUGCAGCAGCUGUGUGGCCUCAGGGAAGUUACUGAACCCCUCUGAGCCUCCCAUGGAAAAUAAGGAUGAUGGUUCCCCUCACAGGGUUGUCGGGAGGAUUCAGUGUCCUCCUUCAGGUCUUGACUCGGAUGUUGCCUCUGAGUGAGGGCGUCUUUGGCCACCCCAUUUAAAGUGCCAACCCUGACACUUCCUCCCUCCUUUCCCCUCUGUCCUCUUCCUGGCUCUUAUCACCAUCAGACAAACCAAGUUUUCACUUCUUGAUCAUUGUCCAGCCCCUGCUGUGAAAUGUGAAGUCCUAAGACACAGGCUUUUUUUGUUUGUUACGUUCAUUGCUUUAGAAGGAAUUAAGGACAAGCUACCCCAAAUGACGUCACUUUGGUAUAUGGAUUAUUUUGAGCUGCAGGCACUGGAGAAACAGCAGGUGCAGGCAGGGCCUUCGGACCUCCCCUUUUCUAACCAAGAACAGGCCAUGACAUUUCCCACGAGAUACACACUCCCUUUGUACCAGGAAGAGAACAUCCUUAUCACCAAACACUGGGAGUGGAUGCCGAGGUGCAUCUGCACAAACACACUUAAUAAAAUAACCCUUUGCUUCCACCAGUUUUACUCGUUUCUCCCCCACGAAUCUUCCAGUUCCUCCCCCACGAUUUACUGCCCCCAGUCCAAACCUUUUUGUCUCAUCAUUUCUUCACA
rnacentral:lncRNA from 10 species